AUUGAACGCUGGCGGCAUGCCUUACACAUGCAAGUCGAACGGCAGCACGGGAGCAAUCCUGGUGGCGAGUGGCGAACGGGUGAGUAAUAUAUCGGAACGUGCCCAGUAGUGGGGGAUAACUGCUCGAAAGAGCAGCUAAUACCGCAUACGACCUGAGGGUGAAAGGGGGGGAUCGCAAGACCUCUCGCUAUUGGAGCGGCCGAUAUCAGAUUAGCUAGUUGGUGGGGUAAAGGCCUACCAAGGCAACGAUCUGUAGUUGGUCUGAGAGGACGACCAGCCACACUGGGACUGAGACACGGCCCAGACUCCUGCGGGAGGCAGCAGUGGGGAAUUUUGGACAAUGGGCGCAAGCCUGAUCCAGCAAUGCCGCGUGCAGGAAGAAGGCCUUCGGGUUGUAAACUGCUUUUGUCAGGGAAGAAAUCCUCUAGGUUAAUACCCUUGGGGGGAUGACGGUACCUGAAGAAUAAGCACCGGCUAACUACGUGCCAGCCGCCGCCGUAAAAC
rnacentral:rRNA from 1 species